CUCCCCACUCAGCGUGAGCUCCAUCAGAGGCCAAAGCCACCCCGCCAGGCCCUCCCAUGUCCACACUCCGGGGUGCUCUCCACAGUGGUGACAGAGUGAACCCUUUCAAAUGAUGGACGACUGGCUGCUUUCUCAAAGGCCACCUUAGGGAAGAGUUUGGCAAAUGUAACUCAGGUCCUCCAUGAUCAUGGUUGCAAAUCAGGAUUGGAGCCCACUCACCAGUCGGCUCUGUUAGAAGGCGAGGCUGGGGAGUGACAAGCCUGGUUGUUUACAAGCACUCCCUGACGGUGGCCAGGGCCACCCGCUGUCCUCGCGCAUUCCCGGAUCCAGUGGAGGGAACAGAUGCCCGUGUGACCAACGAUAGGGAGAAGCAUGUCAGCUGGGAUAUGCAGAAGAGGAAGGAUCCAGAGGGAGGAAGGAACCUUAGUUUUGCUGGGACAUAGAGGGUUGGGGCCAGGAAUCCGAGAGGGCUUCAAGUUCCUGGGACGUGACAGCUGGACUUGGUUUGGGACUCAAGGAAGACUUGACAUUCAUUCAUACCUAUGCAAUGAGACUAUUUGUUUUUCUAAUUAAUAGUUAUUGAGCACUAGCUGUAUACCAGAUCCAGUAUACAAGGGCACUGUAAGGACGGAGGCUCACCGAUCUCCUGACCGCCCAGAGCUUACAGUUUAGUAUUGGGGGGUGGGUGAGGGGUGGGUGAAGCAAACGGUCACACCUCGGAAGGUCGUAAGGAGGGCUCCGCGUGAAAGCCUUCAGCACGCUGUGUGGUCACUGCUGCCUGGCUGUUCCAGGGCCCCUGCUGCCGUUACUGGAGAAGCCCCCUCUCUCUCGCCUACCCCCCGGCGGCACCCAGAGGACCCACAGACAGCAGCCAGCCCACCAUGCUGUUGAGGACAGAGGAUCGUGAGGAGCAGAGGAAGGCUGGGACCUCAGAGGGGCCAAAUGCUUCCGCACACCAAGCUGAAAAUGCCUUGGAGGUCCCUAUAGGUCCUGAAGCCCUGUAGGUCCCUGGGCCCUGGGCCCUAGAUUUAGAAGCAACACUGGGGUUGAAGGGCCAUUGUACCUGGACUUUUGCCUGAGUACCUGUUUUGAAGCAUGAGCUUCUUUAGCGGAAGGUGCUGCUGAAAUGGGCUCGGGAACUCAGGGAGCACACAAAUGGCCGGUAAAGCUCGGGGUCAAGUUUCUGCUGCCGCGCUGUAGACCCUGGUAUCAAUUUUCGUUGAAAAUGCUGCAGAAACAAAAAGGUCUCUGAUUCCUGGGAAAUUGGGUUAUCCCGAUGGCCUAGAAUCUGAAAGUGGGGAUCACGGCCACAACUGUCCUCCCUGGGUACCCCCAAAU